CCAAAGCAGAUACUCCCAGGGAAAUCACUCGUCAGGCUCUGUCCAGGUGGCAAAAGGGAGCAAAGGACUCUGCCUGGUGAUGUACAGUCCCAUUCCACAAUGGUGGAGGUGAAUCUGGGCCUCGAACCUGCACCUACAUAUUCCUACAGCUUCUCAGAGUCCUGCAGACAAUGACUGAGAAGACAAACCAUGUAGAAAACAGCU
rnacentral:snoRNA from 1 species